CUGUGCGGGAUGUAUUAAGUUCGCAGUCACGUUUGAGGGUCCGUAGGUGGCCUGUUGUAAGGCAAAAUUUCUGUCCCUAUCCAAUAUACCCUCAUUUUCCAGUGGCAGUUGAAAUUUCCCCGACCAUCAUCCCUUAUUGCCUCUAUUAUGGCAAGACCUACCUAUUGUACUUAUUGUGAACUUGUUCUCGUCCUGAAUAUGCAUGAAAUAUUUGCCACUGGACGUUAAGCAACCAACAAUCAAUCAAUCAAUCAAU
rnacentral:lncRNA from 1 species